AUACGGAGGGUGCAAGCGUUGUUCGGAAUCACUGGGCGUAAAGGACGCGUAGGCGGGUUGGCAAGUCAGAUGUGAAAUCCUACAGCUUAACUGUAGAACUGCAUUUGAAACUGCUAACCUAGAGUAUGGGAGGGGGAGAUGGAAUUAGUGGUGUAGGGGUAAAAUCCGUAGAUAUCACUAGGAAUACCGAAAGCGAAGGCGAUCUCCUGGAACAUAACUGACGCUAAGGCGUGAAAGCGUGGGGAGCAAACAGGAUUAGAUACCCCAGUAGUCC
rnacentral:rRNA from 1 species